UCGGGAAUUUUGGGCAAUGGGCGAAAGCCUGACCCAGCAACGCCGCGUGAGGGAUGAAGUAUUUCGGUAUGUAAACCUCGAAAGAAUGGGAAGAAUAAAUGACGGUACCAUUUAUAAGCUCCGGCUAACUACGUGCCAGCAGCCGCGGUAAUACGUAGGGAGCAAGCGUUGUUCGGAUUUACUGGGCGUAAAGGGCGCGUAGGCGGCGCGGUAAGUCACUUGUGAAAUCUCUGAGCUUAACUCAGAACGGCCAAGUGAUACUGCUGUGCUAGAGUGCGGAAGAGGAAACCAGAAUUCUUGGUGGAGCGGUGAAAGGCGUAGAUAUCAAGAGGAACACCUGAGGCGAAGGCGGGUUGCUGGGCCGACACUGACGCUGAUGCGCGAAAGCCAGGGGAGCAAAC
rnacentral:rRNA from 1 species